CAAAAGCUGUGUGCAGCUCUCCCGGCUGCUGCUGCCUAUGGCAACAAGAGACACCGGCAGCAGGCUGAGGCAGCCGCUGCUGCACGUCAGGAGGAGAAGGCACACAGGUGCGUUGCAGCCCUCUCCUUCCCCCGGCACCCACCUGGAGGAGAUGCCGAGGGGGCUUCUGGUGGGAGACAGGAUCAUCUGUAGUGGACCUCACUCACCUGAGCAGCUGCUGGGGCUUCGCAAGACCUUUGAUAUUUGAGGAAUUGGAGGACCGGCAUAGAGGAGACCUGUGUUCCAAUGUAGGAGAAAGGCAACGCCGAGAGAGUGAUGACCCAGGACCGCUCCGGAGCAGAACUGGGAGCACUUCUUGUUUCUGGCUGUGGUGAAUAAGUCUAUCUUUGGGACUCCCCAACGUAGAAAUAUGCUGUGGAGAAUGGAAAGGUCUUUCUCAUUUGUGAUCCUGGGAAAAGUUCCUGCUGAGAGUGUCCGCAGGAGAGUUCUGUGUGCCCGAGAGGUGCAUAAAUUCUCAGUGAAUGCAAAGUGGCUCUAGAGUCUUUUAGUAUGUGGAGCAAUUCAUCCAUUUUCUCCACAAAUGAUUUGGAUCCUUCAAAUGGAAGGUCCUCCACAGUAGACUGGACUUUCCUUGGAAAGCCAGAAAGGUGAAGCCAGGAAGCCCUCCGCAUGCCCACCACUGUUGAGAUGAAGCAGGCAGCUGUG